CAAGUCGAGCGAGAAAGGGGCUUCGGCCCUGAGUAAAGCGGCGCACGGGUGAGUAACACGUGGGUAAUCUGCCCUAGAGUGGGGAAUAACACCGGGAAACCGGUGCUAAUACCGCAUACGAUCACGAUGUCUUCGGGUGUUGUGAUGAAAGGAGCAAUUCGCUCUUGGAGGAGCCCGCGGCUGAUUAGCUAGUUGGUGAGGUAAUGGCUCACCAAGGCAACGAUCAGUAGCCGGUCUGAGAGGACGGUCGGCCACACUGGAACUGAGACACGGUCCAGACUCCUACGGGAGGCAGCAGUGGGGAAUUUUUCGCAAUGGGGGCAACCCUGACGAAGCAACGCCGCGUGGAUGAUGAAGUCUCUUGGGACGUAAAAUCCUUUCGACGGGGACGAAACCGCAAGGUUGACGGUACCCGUAGAAGAAGCCCCGGCUAACUCCGUGCCAGCAGCCGCGGUAAUACGGGGGGGGCAAGCGUUGUUCGGAAUUACUGGGCGUAAAGGGCGCGUAGGCGGUUCGCUAAGUUGAAUGUGAAAACUCUGGGCUUAACCCAGAGCCUGCAUUCAAUACUGGCGGGCUAGAGUUCUGGAGGGGAUAGCGGAAUUCCUGGUGUAGCGGUGAAAUGCGUAGAUAUCAGGAGGAACACCGGUGGCGAAGGCGGCUAUCUGGACAGAGUCUGACGCUGAGGCGCGAAAGCUAGGGGAGCAAACAGGAUUAGAUACCCUGGUAGUCCUAGCCCUAAACGAUGGAUACUUGCUGUGACUGGGAUUGAAUCCAGUCGUGGCGAAGCUAACGCAUUAAGUAUCCCGCCUUGGGGAGUACGGUCGCAAGGCUGAAACUCAAAGGAAUUGA
rnacentral:rRNA from 1 species